rnacentral:rRNA from 1 species
AUGUUCUCCGCUCUAUCCAAGCCUCGCGUCAACAACUGCCGUAUUGCUCUCUCCAAUGCCCAGAAGGGUUCCCUCAGCGCCGCCGCCUACUUUGGGCAGAUGCGGGCGCUGUCUGAUGAACUCGCGGCCGCCGGCAAACCCAUCGGCGAAGAUGAGCUCAUCUCCUUCAUCAUCGCCGGUCUCGACAUGGAAUAUCAGCCCAUCAUCUCCGCCCUUGACGUGCGUGUUGAUCCUGUCUCCACCGAUGAACUCUUUGGCAUGAUCUCCAACUUUGAUCAACGCGUCGAGCUGUUCCAAGGAACUGGUCCCGGCGCCUUCAAGUCUUCUGCUAAUGCUGCCUAUCGUGGUCGCGGGCCUCCCAAAUCCUCUCCGAACCCUCCCAAGGGUGGUGGCGGGGGCUAUCGUGGUGGUCCUGACGGCAGCGGCGGCGGCCAACUCCGGCACGGUGGCGGCGGUGGCGGUUAUGAUGAAUAUCUUAACAAGUGUCAAAUUUGUAAGAAAAAUAACCAUAUUGCGAAGGAUUGCGACUAUCGUUAUGCCGAG